rnacentral:lncRNA from 1 species
UUGAGGUUUAGUUUUGUUAUAAAAAUUACUAGGAUUUGUUUAAGGUUUAGUUUAGGGUUUAGGAUUUGGUUAGGGUUUGAUUUUAGAUUUAGAGUUUGAUUAGGUUUUUAUUUGGAGUUUAGGAUUUGAUUAGUAUUUGGUUUAGGAUCUGGUUGGGAUUUAGUUUAAGGUUUAUUUAGGAUUUCAUUUAGGAUUAGGAUUUGGUUAGGGUUUGAUUUAGGAUUAGGAUUUGGUUAGGAUUUGGUUUAAGAUUUGGUUGGGAUUUGAUUUAAGGUUUGUUUAGGAUUUGGUUUAGGAUUUAAGGCUUCAUUAGGAUUUGGUUUAGGCUUUAGGAUUUGGUUUAGGAUUUAGGAUUUGAUUUAGGGUUUAGAAUUUGGUUUAGAAUUUAGGGUUUGAUUUAGGGUUUAGGAUUUUAUUAGGAUUUAUUUAAGAUUUAAGAUUUAAUUAGUUUUGGCCUAAAGUAUGAAUAAAGUCGAAUAGGAUUUUAACUAAGAUUAAAUUAAGAUUGAAUUGAGAUGUAUUUGAGAUAUAUUUUUAAUCAUUCUAAUAUAUUUUUAAGAUUUCUUAUUAUUUCUUUGAAAUUUUUUUGAGGUUUUUUUGAACUUGAUUAAAGCUUGUUUAGUAUUAUUAUGAUUUAAUUAGAUUUUAGUUAGUAUUCUAUUAGAAUUAGGAUUUUAUUGUUACAAUUUCUAUUCUACCUUCCACAACCAAGUGCUC